CAAAACAUAUUAUAUAACCAUCUGUUUUCUUCUAAAGAUGAAUUCUGUUAGAUUCAGCCAUUUCUGUCUUCUUGGAAGAGGUCCUAACAUUGCCAACACCCAGCCUCUGUUGGCUAUUCGCACUCGGGACCAGAAGCUCUGAAGAAUCCAGAGCAAAAACUUAUCUUAUUCUGGGGACUUAGAAGAAAAGAGAAACUUUCUCAAGGUGAUGAUGAGGAAUUCAUGCAAAUCAAAACUUCAAAGGAGAGGACCCUGAGCGCCUCCCAUUUUCUACACAUGCUUGAACCAAAGAACUUCCAGACCAGGGCAGGCUGCAGAG